rnacentral:lncRNA from 1 species
AGCAUUAUCAGAUACAAACUAUGAAAAAUUUGACAAGUGUGUUCAAGAAAAUUGAUUAAAUGACAGAUCACUUCAACAGAGAACUAGAAUCAGUGAAAAAAAUAAUCAAAUUGAAAUUCUGGGACUGAGUAACUCACUGACUGAAUUGAAGAAAUCAGUAGCUAAAUUUGACAAUAGAUUACACAUAGCUGGCAGGAGUUGAUUAAUAAACUGGAAGGCAGGUCAGUAGACAAUAUUCAGUUGGAAGCAUAGAGAAAAAAAUGGAUAUUGUGAGAAAGAUUGUGAGACCGUGUGGAAAAAAUACACCAUAUGUUGAGACAUCAAGGAAAGUCUCAACAAAUUUCAAAGGAUUGAAAUAAUUCAGUAUGUUCUCUGAUUAGGUGGAAUUAAACUGGAAGAAGUAAUAGAAAGAUAAACAGAAAAUUCACAAAUGUUUGAAAACUAAGCAAUACAAUUCUAAAUGACCUAUGAGCUAAAGAAAUCACAAAAGAAAUUAUAAAAUAUUUAAGCAUAAUGAUAAUGAAAAUAAAUUCAUAGUAGCAUUAUUGACAAUAGCCGAAAGGUGGAAACAACCCCAGUGUCCAUCAACAAAUGAAUAAAUAGAGAAAAUGUGGUAUACACAUACAAAGGAAUAUUAUUCAGCCUUAAAAAGAAAUUCUGAUACAUGCUACAACAUGGGUGAACUUUGAAAACAUUAUGCUAAGUCAAAUAAACCACACACAAAAGGACAAAUAUUCUAUGAUUCCAAUUAUAUGAAGUACAUAGAAUAGGCAAAUUUCAGAGACGAAGUAGAAUAGAGGAUAUAAGGGGGAGAGGAGAGUGGAGACAAAUAAUUUCAAGGCAGAUUCCAAGAAAGCAGAAGAGCUGCAAUUAUAAAGAACAAAAAUCAAUAAAAUUGAGAAUAAAUGCACAGCAGAGGGAAAAAAAAAUCAAGAAAGCCAAAAGCUGGUUUUUUGAAAAGAUUUAUAAAACUAAUAGCAAGACCGGUGAAGAAAAAAGGAGAGAAAGCACUGUGGGGGACUGGUCUUGGCCAUGCCAAGAU